rnacentral:rRNA from 1 species
CACGUGAGGGGCAAGCGUUGUCCGGAUUUAUUGGGCGUAAAGAGCUCGUAGGCGGCUUGUCACGUCGGUUGUGAAAGCCCGGGGCUUAACCCCGGGUCUGCAGUCGAUACGGGCAGGCGUAGAGUGUGGUAGGGGAGAUCGGAAUUCCUGGUGUAGCGGUGAAAUGCGCAGAUAUCGGGAAGAACACCCGUGGCGAAGGCGGCUAGCUCGUGGGACGGUACUGACGCUGAGACGCGAAAGCGUGGGGAGCGAACGAGG